GUGGUUCUCACAGUCUUAUCCCAGACCGGCAGCAGGAACAUCACUCAGAACCAGUAAGAAGUUCACGUCCUCUGCUCCACCUCAGGAAUCCUGAAUCAGACACCCUGGAGGCAGAGCCUAGCCAUUUUGUUUUCAGAAACCCUCGGGCCAAUUCUGUGAUAUUCAAGAAGUUCUGAGAACCACUAGAAAAGCCUCUAUAUAGGCCAGAAGCAGAUUCUACACCCAAGAGGCCGACUGCCACGCCGCCAAGGAGGCCCAAGAGGGCAAGGAAUGAGCCGGUCCAGUGGUUAGCAGCAGUGUGAUAGGACGAGAACCUGGUUGGCCUCGUCAAGCACCACAGCUUCUGAUAGGGAAGAAGUUCUCAUACCAGGCAUCCUCAAGGGUUACCAGUAAGUCAGUGGAUGGGAUGUCGUUGAAUCAGGGUCCCACUCCUCGUCUGAUCAUCCAUGGCUUGCUGCAUUCUUUAUAUACAGUGAGGCACCUGAGAAAACGUUGAGCACAUUAACAGGAUGACAUUUUAAAGCCGUGACUCUAAACGACCCCCUCUCCCGAGGCAGGUGGGCUCUCGGGUCACUCUCAGAGGAUCACCGUCCAGACUGACGAGCCCUGACUGAGCCCUGCGAUGUCUGUCACCCGCCUCAACAAAACGAGCUCGGAAUUCCCUGUACUCAUCUGAUCAGAAAUGAGGAAUGGCUGGGAGGUGCCCGGCAGACAGGGCGUCUGGGGAAGAGGACAUUAAUUGAUGCUAAUCUGACCGGGACCUGGAGAGAAAGCCAAAGUCACUUCGAGAGCUGAGCCAGGGUGUCAUUGCUCUGCUUAUGUGACAUGGGAAGUGGGUUAGGACCCAGGCCUGAUACCGGCUAGGGGUUCCGAGGGAAGAGUCAGAGGCCACUGUCACCAGCCAGCAAAUGAUGCUGAGGCAAACGACUCUGGGCACUAAGAGAGAGGUCAGCAAUAAGAAUGGGA